UACGAAGGGGGCUAGCGUUGUUCGGAAUUACUGGGCGUAAAGCGCACGUAGGCGGAUAUUUAAGUCAGGGGUGAAAUCCCAGAGCUCAACUCUGGAACUGCCUUUGAUACUGGGUAUCUUGAGUAUGGAAGAGGUAAGUGGAAUUGCGAGUGUAGAGGUGAAAUUCGUAGAUAUUCGCAGGAACACCAGUGGCGAAGGCGGCUUACUGGUCCGAUACUGACGCUGAGGCACGAAAGCGUGGGGAGCAAACAGG
rnacentral:rRNA from 1 species